rnacentral:tRNA from 1 species
GGAAAUAUAGUUCAAGUGGUAGAGCACAUGCUUAGCAUGCACAAGGUCCUGGGUUCAAUCCCCAGUACCUCCU